rnacentral:rRNA from 1 species
GACGAACGCUGGCGGCGUGCUUAACACAUGCAAGUCGAACGGGAUCCAUGGGAGCUUGCUCCCGGAAGAUCUAGUGGCGAACGGGUGAGUAACACGUGAGGAACCUGCCCUUCACUGGGGAAUAACUCGGGGAAACUCGAGCUAAUACCGCAUACCUUCCACUGGUCGCGUGGCCGGCGGAAGAAAGAUUUAUCGGUGAUGGAGGGCCUCGCGGCCUAUCAGCUUGUUGGUGGGGUAACGGCCCACCAAGGCAACGACGGGUAGCUGGUCUGGGAGGACGAUCAGCCACACUGGAACUGAGACACGGUCCAGACUCCUACGGGAGGCAGCAGUGGGGAAUCUUGCGCAAUGGGCGAAAGCCUGACGCAGCAACGCCGCGUGCGGGAUGACAGCCUUCGUGGUUGUAAACCGCUUUCAGCAGGGACGAAAAUGACGGUACCUGCAGAAGAAGCUCCGGCUAACUACAUGCCAGCCGCCGCGGUAA